rnacentral:rRNA from 1 species
UACGAAGGGGGCUAGCGUUGCUCGGAAUUACUGGGCGUAAAGGGCGCGUAGGCGGACAGUUUAGUCAGAGGUGAAAGCCCAGGGCUCAACCUUGGAAUUGCCUUUGAUACUGACUGUCUUGAGUUCGGGAGAGGUGAGUGGAAUGCCGAGUGUAGAGGUGAAAUUCGUAGAUAUUCGCAAGAACACCAGUGGCGAAGGCGGCUCACUGGCCCGAUACUGACGCUGAGGCACGAAAGCGUGGGGAGCAAACAGGG